GACGAACGCUGGCGGCGUGCCUAACACAUGCAAGUCGAGCGGUAAGGCCCUUUCGGGGGUACACGAGCGGCGAACGGGUGAGUAACACGUGGGUGACCUGCCCUCAGCUCUGGGAUAAGCCUGGGAAACCGGGUCUAAUACCGGAUAUGACUCCAUGACGCAUGUUGUGGGGUGGAAAGCCUUGUGCGGCUGAGGAUGGGCCCGCGGCCUAUCAGCUUGUUGGUGGGGUGAUGGCCUACCAAGGCGACGACGGGUAGCCGGCCUGAGAGGGCGACCGGCCACACUGGGACUGAGACACGGCCCAGACUCCUACGGGAGGCAGCAGUGGGGAAUCUUGCGCAAUGGGCGAAAGCCUGACGCAGCGACGCCGCGUGAGGGAUGACGG
rnacentral:rRNA from 1 species